ACAAGUACGUGAAUCUGGGCAUCUGAUUGGCGGCUUCGCCCGUUCGUCCACACGCUCUUACGGAUAUUACAACAACAACAAAAAAAGAAUACUCUCACCUUUUAAAAUCUCUGAUUUUAUAACACGUAGUCCUACAUAAAAGCCGUAACCCAUGCUUUGACAUCUUUAUCGACCAACAGAAUUAUGUGGUGCUAAGGAAGUUCCUUACCUCAACACAGGUGGCAGCAAGGCACUUGAGAACGGGACUACUGCCGUUCGUACCUGCUUUUGAUGGGAUAGUGGAUUUGAUUAUACACCGCGGAAAACUGCAGAAGAGUAAGGAAAUCACUCCAACUCAAGCCAGACUCCCUCCAUAAGGCCGCAACUUUUCUAUGGCUCUGUGACACAAAAGAGGAUUCCCCAAGAGUCCCGCACACCCAGGGGUUGCCAGUUUAACCAGUCAUAACCAACCAAAAGAGUGGAAGAAGAAAUUUGCUUAGUUCACUGCAGACACACAGGGGAAAAACAAGAAUAUCCUUAACAUUUGAUAUGUCAGCCAGCAAGCUGAGCGCUUUUGUCCUUUGCGUUUUCACCUGAGUGGAAUCACUUUUACAAAAAACUCCAAAGUAUCAAAAUACAAUGUGAGAUAAACAGAAAUUGGCAUGAAAAAGAACAGUAUCAAGGUAUCAAGGUUCACUUUUAAGUUUCUUUGUGCUUUUUGUUGUGAGAUUUUGAGUGGUGCACUGCAAGCUGUCUUAAGGUAUGGUGUCAGACAAAUUCAAGGACAAGAGUAUGAAAACCAUUUUCUUAACUAGCUGGCAAAAAUACUCCAGUUUAGUAGUAAAGUUGUGUCAUAGUAUUAUUAUCUUCACGUUACUCUGCCCCCCACAUUGAAAAUCUGUUUCUGUGACAUAACCAAUACCCAGAAUGUGACUGUAAGAAGGACUCAAUGCUAAACCCCCGGAGUUUUAGCAUUGCUACCCCUGUUCAGUGGCACUGCAGCUCACCGCAGUUUCUGACCCACUGUGCCCGCCCUGGGCCCCCUGGUCUCACCUAAAGA